rnacentral:rRNA from 1 species
UGAGGAACCUAUCCCAGUCUCUGGAAUAACAGGUGGAAACACCUGCUAAUACCGGAUGCCGUUGGACCAUCGCAUGGUGGACCAACGAAAGAUUUAUCGGAUUGGGAGGGCCUCGCGGCCUAUCAGCUUGUUGGCGGGGUAACGGCCCACCAAGGCGUCGACGGGUAGCUGGUCUGAGAGGGUGACCGGCCACACUGGGACUGAGACACGGCCCAGACUCCUACGGGAGGCAGCGA